UUAUCCAAUAAGAAGGGGAAUACAAAUAUCAAGCUCUAAUCAGGCAACUCCGCUAGGGAUAGACUGAAGGCGAUCAUACUGGGGAUAACCUGCUGAGGGCGACCCUACCAGGGAUGAGUUGCAAGUCGACCUGCUGAGGAGAGGCUACAAGACAAACUGCUGAGGGUUUCCACUGAUGCUGGGAAUUCCUGUUCACUCUGCGGGAGAUUUCCACUUACUGAGGGAAAGACCAAUUUCA
rnacentral:lncRNA from 1 species